rnacentral:rRNA from 1 species
GUCCUACGGGACGCAGCAGUGGGGAAUAUUGCACAAUGGGGGAAACCCUGAUGCAGCGACGCCGCGUGAAGGACGAAGUAUUUCGGUACGUAAACUUCUAUCAGCAGGGAAGAAAAUGACGGUACCUGACCAAGAAGCCCCGGCUAACUACGUGCCAGCAGCCGCGGUAAUACGGAGGAUGCGAGCGUUAUCCGGAUUUAUUGGGUUUAAAGGGUGCGUAGGCGGACAGUCAAGUCAGCGGUAAAAAUGCGGUGCUCAACGCCGUACAGCCGUUGAAACUGGCAGUCUUGAGUGGGCGAGAAGUA